GGUAUAAUAUGUCUGUAUUUGUGAUUGUUAUGACCAAUAAAUAUGACAUGGCGUUAUAACUGAUGAUUCUGAUGUCACUUGACAUAUUCUCCUUUUUAUAUUGCAAUGCUUUAAUUGACAAUACUUAUAGAACCGUCUUCUUGAUUUCUAGUUUUCUGAGUUACUCUCAUUUUAAAACUAAGCAACAUUUUUAACAAAAAAAAAACAACACAUUUUUCAGAUUUCUUGAAAAAAAAAUUAUUUCUUUUUGAAAAUUAUAACAUUGAGCUUUUUUCGGUACAUGGUCCGAAUACUAAAUCUAAAUUCAGAAAACUUUUAACUGAUUGAGAAUCUCUUGAAAAUUUUGAUGCCAUUUUUAGACAAUAUGAAAACCAAAAAUCCAAACUGAUAUGUAUAAGAUGUAGUGAGCUUAGAGCAAGCUACUACUCCAAACAGAGGCUCAUCAUAAGUGCAUGUGUUAGGGGUUAGUAAAAUAACACAUGCACAAAAAAAAAGUAUAUCAAUCGAAAAAGAAUCACGAAAGUGGAGCACUGGUCCUAAACAUUGAUUUCAAUCCAAUCCUAUUUAUGUUAAAGUCAAUAAAGGAAGCGUUUAAAUUAAAAAAUUUACACAUACGGCCAAGAGAUUCAUGCAUGUCAUAGUUUGUCAAAGUCAACGUGUAAAAGUUCAAUCUGCUUAGGUGGUGAGAUCCUCCCUGGUAAUUCAUUCCCAUACAGGCUAACAAGAUUGGAGUAUCAAUAUGCCCAUUAAGGAGUUGAAGGAAGAAUAUAAGAUCAUUAUUUACACGCUUUUGAUGUAAAGUUUGGAUCUGAAAAAUAAGGAUCCUUUGUUCAUAAGGGGGCAAGUUAUAAGGAUCAGUCCAAGGAAGACCCUUCAUAGCAAAUCGUAUGAAAUUGUGUUGAACUGAUUCAAUACGAUUUUUAUGAAUUUCAUAAAACGGUUUUUUAAAAAAGAGAAAACUUUUAUCCGCUUUUCUUCGCCGUCUUAUAACAAUUUAAUCUUAGGAUUAUUUAUUUUGAGUACGUUUUGUAGAAAUGGUAAGUUUGGUGCCAAAACCAAAUUAUUAAAAGUUUUUUUUAAGGGACUAAAUCAUUUGUUGAUAUCCAUUUAGAGACGUUAUCUUUGUAUGAAACCUAAAUUUGUUUAUCCAUUCACCAAAGGACCUUAUAAAAUGGACACUAAUACAAGAAUGCCACUUUUCCUAACUAAAUUUAAACUUACCGUGAAAAAGUAUUGUCCCCAUGCAGAA